rnacentral:rRNA from 1 species
CUAGGAAUCUUGCGCAAUGGACGAAACUCUGACGCAGUGACGCCGCGUAUAGGAAGAAGGUUUUCGGAUUGUAAACUAUUUUAGUCAGGGAAGAAAAAUGACAGUACCUGAAGAAUAAGCUCCGGCUAACUACGUGCCAGCAGCCGCGGUAAUACGUAGGGAGCAAGCGUUAUCCGGAUUUAUUGGGUGUAAAGGGUGCGUAGACGGGAAGACAAGUUGGUUGUGAAAGCCCUCGGCUCAACUGAGGAACUGCAACCAAAACUAUCAUUCUUGAGUGCGGGAGAGGAAAGUGGAAUUACUAGUGUAGCGGUGAAAUGCGUAGAGAGUAGGAGGAACACCAGUGGCGAAGGCGACUUUCUGGACCGUAGCUGACGUUGAGGCACGAAAGUGUGGGGAGCAAACA